UCUCUCUCAAGCCGCCGCUGCCGCCACCGACCGCCUCGAACCAGCUCGUCCCACCUCCUCCUCUCCCUCUCUCGAUCUCCUCUGCCUCGCACGCCACCACCGCUCGCCCUCGCGCCGCCGCCUCCAUUCGCCCUCCUCUGCCUCGCACACCGCCACCGCUCGCCCUCGCGCCGCCGCCGUCUCCGUUGCCCAACCCACUGGAUCCCCACCAUCCACUUCUCCAGUGUCGUCGCCUCGUCAUCACGUGCACGCGGCAGGAGGAGCGAGGGAGAUGUGGAGCCGCCGCUAGGAACGCCACCUUCGUCCUCGCGUGCACAUGACAGGAGGAGCGGGGGAGGCGUGGAGCCGCGCCCUCCCCUGCCGCCGCCGCUGCCCGUUCCCUCGCCCUCCCCUGCCGUCUCCAUCGGCGACUUCAACUUCUCCCUUUCCCUGCCCAUGUCGCCGGCCUCUCCCUUGGUGGCGGCCAGAUCUACCAGGCGGCGGUGUAGGGGACGCAUCAUCCCCUCCAAGAGCCUCGCCGCCCCCUUCUUCAUGGCUAGGAUUUGGGUGAAAGGAGGCCACAACAGGGGAGAAGUGGCCAGGGUCAUAACUCAUAACAUACACACCUGAAGGUUGUUCUCAAAUCGGACAUAGCCAUGCCAUUCACUCUCAAACCUCGGCUACGAAAUUAUUGGUAUAAUUCAUGCACAGGGAAUGUCUUUUGCAUGGCAGAAAGAGUUGUGGCAGGCAAAGAGGUCAUAAUUUCUGGAUCCGCGCCGCCAUCAAGCCGGGCCCCAACGGUCGCCUCCUUCUCUACAACCAGUGCCAGGCCCUUCGGUGCAUCGAUCCGGCACCAGGAACCAUGAGAAGCAGGCCCUUCUACCCCGCCGCCGGCGCCGCCUCCUCGCGAGAUCCCGACCAUGGUCCGCUGUAGAUGUUGUUUGUUCUGUUUGUCGAGGCUUUUGUCGGCCUGCUGUCUGCUGCCGUGUUGAGAGGUUGCAAGGUUCCUGGUUGCGCGGAGAUGAUCCAUGAUCUGGUGGUGGGAAGUGGCUCCAUAUUGGUGAUUGGACCUCCUGGUGUAGGCAAGACUACUCUGAUCAGCCAGAAGAUGGUGUUGUUAUCCACGAGGAUGUCUUAAAUGAUACGAGAGGUUCGGGAGGGUGUCAGAAAUGCUACUCAGAGAAAGCUCCUCAAUGAGCUGGGCAUCCCAGCUGAAGAUGUGCCCGUUGACCAGUUCAUUCCUGUCAGUCGGAUGCUUGACAGGGUGUCGGCUGUAGAGACAGAAGAGGAGGUUGAGGCAUCCUCGACGCCUGCUGCAGCGACCACGACCACAUGCAUCUAAAAGAGAGACAGUUUCCAGGUGGUUCACAUUUUUACAGGAGGCACAUGCUUUUGUUCAUCUUGCUUCUUGAUACUAUAGAUGCUUUGUGAGAGGAUGCUUCUACUGGAGACCAUGAUCCAGUCCAAUGAUUUAUCCGGCAAGGAGGAGAAGCAUUGUUGGGGUCCUCAUUGUCACCAAGGGGAUGCAACCUACAUCAAUCGUGUAGAGAUCCACUGAUGUGUCCGUGCCCAUGUUGUGCUUCACCGAGCUUCAGGAAAAAUAAUCUAUUUCUGGGAUUAGUCCUCAACAAGCAAGAAGAAGUGCCAUCACUGGUAUGAAACUCAUGCCAGGGGAAGGGAUUCCAUCACUGCCUUUUGAUCAGCAAGUGUAAUCUCCAGUGAUGAUCGUCCCUGUUCAGCAUUCAUCAACAGAAUGCCAUCUUCAGUGCCCCUCUCUAGGCCCUCACUCUGAAUUCUUUCGGUUUUAAUAGGUGCCCUCCCUCCAUGGACGAGGAGGACAUUGACCUAGACCUUGACGACGACGUCGUCCACCCCACACAAGGUCGUUGCCACGCAAUAAACUUCUUUUCUUCUUCCAUUCCAAGUUACCUCUGCUCUGUUUCUGCAAUAGACUCAUUGUACACUAGCUAUAGAUCCCUAUGUUGUUGUUGGUGGUGGUUGGCGAGGUGACGCUGGAAGGCGCGGAGGCGUCGUCGACGAAAGAGAAAAAGAAGAGGACAUACCGUACAGCUGCCCACCACUGCUCACCUCGAUGGCUCGACCACCUCUGCUGUGCCGCAGACGACACAGGGGGAGGCCGAGGUGAUCAUCGACGGUGCUCACCCCGACCCCAUUGGGAUCUAGGGGAAGGGGCUAUGGCGGCAGCGGCACUGGGAGAGGCGGCGGCACUGGGAGAGGCAGCGGCGCUCGGAGAGGAGGCACCUACUUUAUUUCUACUUCUACUUUUCUUCUGCACCUAUAGUUUCAAUGCUUUAUCUGCUCGUGGAGCUAUGCUUCUGUUGCAUUGGGCUAAGGUUUGAUUGCUUGAAGGUGUAUGUCAAGGUGUAAGUGCAGACUCAUUGUUGAUGAUGAAUACUGUGGAGUAAGAAUGAUCUGGCUCAGCAAUUUUCUGGUUCAGGUCGUUGACAUAUUCGGGUUCUAGGUCACAUAAAUAAAAUUUAGAGUUAAUUGA